rnacentral:rRNA from 1 species
UUGAACGCUGGCGGCAUGCCUUACACAUGCAAGUCGAACGGUAACAGGUCUUCGGAUGCUGACGAGUGGCGAACGGGUGAGUAAUACAUCGGAACGUGCCUAGUAGUGGGGGAUAACUACUCGAAAGAGUAGCUAAUACCGCAUGAGAUCUACGGAUGAAAGCAGGGGACCUUCGGGCCUUGUGCUACUAGAGCGGCCGAUGGCAGAUUAGGUAGUUGGUGGGAUAAAAGCUUACCACGCCGACGAUCUGUAACUGGUCUGAGAGGACGACCAGCCACACUGGGACUGAGACACGGCCCAGACUCCUACGGGAGGCAGCAGUGGGGAAUUUUGGACAAUGGGCGAAAGCCUGAUCCAGCAAUGCCGCGUGCAGGAUGAAGGCCUUCGGGUUGUAAACUGCUUUCGUACGGAACGAAAAAGCUCCUUCUAAUACAGGGGGCCCAUGACGGUACCGUAAGAAUAAGCACCGGCUAACUACGUGCCAGCAGCCGCCGUAAUAC